rnacentral:rRNA from 1 species
AUACCCUAUUAUUUUUAAUGUAAAUGAUUUAAAAGCUGGAGUAAUUUUAGAUAUAAAUCUUUAAACUCAAAGAAUUUGGCGGUAUUAUAAUCUUUUUAGAGGAAUUUGUUAUUUAAUCGAUAAUCCACGUUGAACCUUACUUGUAUUAAUAUUUUUGUAUAUCACUGUUUUUGGGGAUACUUUCAGGUUUAUAAGAAAUUUUCAAUAUAAAUUAUUAAUUAAAAAUUCAAGUCAAGGUGCAGUUAUAUAUAAGUUGAAUAGUGAAUUACAAUAAAGUUUAUUUAUAACGGAUGAUUAUUUAAAAGUAGUGAUGAAGGUGAAUUUAAAUGUAAUUUUAUUAA